CUUGGAUUUCAAGUUUGGUAUUGCAACUUUUUAAGCAGAUUACUUAUGGGUUUUUUGUACUUUGCGUCAUUUUGCUUCAUAGGUAUUCUUUGUGGGUUUUACAUUGUGGGUUUUUUGAAUAAUAUAACUUGUGUUCUUUGUGGAUUUUACGUUGUGGGUUUCUUGCGUGUAUGAAUGUGUCAGUGUGUCACUCACUGGUCGAGUUUGACUGUUUUAGCUUCUAGCUAAUGAAUCAAGCAUCUUGUUGUUGGCUGUGAUAAACUGAUUCUGUUGUUGGCUUGUUGCAGAGCAACGAGUGUUUGAAGAGAUUCAAGAGUCAAGAGACUUGGAGAACAACAAGUGUUUGCUGACUUGAGAGUUUGAGUAAAGUUCUAUUUAGUAAAGUAGCUACAAAGUUGUGCCCAACAGUUAUAAUUAUACUUUGCAUUUACAUUACAUGAAUGUAAACUUUGGUUUUUAAUUUCAGUGAAGACAAAAAUGAAUAAAAGACACAUU
rnacentral:lncRNA from 1 species